rnacentral:rRNA from 1 species
GUGCCAGCAGCCGCGGUGAUACGUAGGGUGCGAGCGUUGUCCGGAAUUAUUGGGCGUAAAGGGCUCGUAGGCGGUCCAUCACGUCGGAAGUGAAAACUCGGGGCUUAACCCCGAGCCUGCUUCCGAUACGGGUGGACUAGAGGAAUGCAGGGGAGAAUGGAAUACCUGGUGGAGCGGUGGAAUGCGCAGAUAUCAGGUGGAACACCAGUGGCGAAGGCGGUUCUCUGGGCAUUUCCUGACGCUGAGGAGCGAAAGCGUGGGAGCAAACAGGCUUAGAUACCCUGGUAGUCCACGCCGUAAACGGUGGCACUAGGUGUGGGACUCAUUCCACGAGUUCCGUGCCGAAGCUAACGCAUU